rnacentral:rRNA from 1 species
AGUGAACGCUGGCGGUAGGCCUAACACAUGCAAGUCGAACGGCAGCACAGAGGAGCUUGCUCCUUGGGUGGCGAGUGGCGGACGGGUGAGGAAUACAUCGGAAUCUACUCUGUCGUGGGGGAUAACGUAGGGAAACUUACGCUAAUACCGCAUACGACCUACGGGUGAAAGCAGGGGAUCUUCGGACCUUGCGCGAGUGAAUGAGCCGAUGUCGGAUUAGCUAGUUGGCGGGGUAAAGGCCCACCAAGGCGACGAUCCGUAGCUGGUCUGAGAGGAUGAUCAGCCACACUGGAACUGAGACGCGGUCCAGACUCCUACGGGAGGCAGCAGUGGGGAAUAUUGGACAAUGGGCGCAAGCCUGAUCCAGCCAUACCGCGUGGGUGAAGAAGGCCUUCGGGUUGUAAAGCCCUUUUGUUGGGAAAGAAAUCCAUCUGGUUAAUACCCGGGUGGGAUGACGGUACCCAAAGAAUAAGCACCGGCUAACUUCGUGCCAGCAGCCGCCGUAA